rnacentral:lncRNA from 1 species
UUUCUUCUUCAUUCGCCUCAUCGAUCCUUAAACGAUUUAUUACUGAUCAAUACAUCACUCUGUUUGUCUCACACACACACCACUUUAUUGAAUCAGCCUUACCGUGCACCCACCCACACACACACACACACAAACACGCUUGCUCGCGCACACACACACACACUGUUUUUAAACUUUUUACUGGUUUUACUGAAGACUCUGUUGUGUGUGUGUGUGUGUGUGUGUGUGUGUGUGUGUGUGUGUGUGUGUGUGUGUGUGUGUGUGGACCUAGUUCACUUCCUGCCAGAGAGAGAGAAAAGGGGGAGAGAGGGUGAACGAGAGAGAGAGACAGAUUGGAAACAGACGUUGCCCCCCCCUCCUCCUCUCUCUCUCUCUCUCUCUCUCUCUCUCUCUCUCUCUCUCUCUCUCUCUCUCUCUCUCUCUCUCUCUCUCUCCCUCUCUCUCUCUCUCUGAGUCAGUCGGUUGUUUCCAUUCGUCUUCUAUGUGGAAUGAACUCAGACUGAGGAGGAGAAGAGGAGGAGGAGGAGGUGAAGGAAGAAGAAGAAGAAGAAAAGAGGAGUGGAAGGAGAUCUACGAUAAAGAAGAAGAAGAAGACGAAGAAGAGGAGGAGGAGGAGGAGGAGAAGGAGGAGUAAGCGGAGCAGCAUCAGCAGGUCUGAAAACACUCGUCUUUUUCUCAUCCCUCGCUCUUUUCCUCCGUCUCUGUAUCGUCCGGCGUCCUCUCUUUCUGCUGAGUGGACAUGUUUUCUUCUGUGUACCUCCAUCAGAAACUGCAGUAAUACUCCGAGUACUGCGAGUACUACCACUGUCACUGAGUCUGUUACUGCGUACGGAGAGGACAAACACUCAGAGACGUCCUCUCUGUUCAGAUUCAGAUCUUUAUUAUAAAAUCAUUACAACAGUUCGUCCACAGGGGGCGCUGUGAUCAACACAAACAAACACUCUGAUGACUGAAACCAGCUGAAGUAAAGUUCAAAUAUUUAACUCAAGUUUGAGUUUAAUAAGAAACUGAAGAGACUAAAAGUAAAAUAUCGAACAGAAAAAGAACUUUGAGAAACACGAAAAACAACAAAACUAAUGAUACGGGGAAAAAAAACAAACAGGUCCAAAGUUCUGACGUUAAACAAACAUCUGGAGGAACAUCUCAGGAGGUUUACUUCCAACAGGUUAGUCACAUGACCGGGUCUAAGACGGACCUUCAGAGAGGCGGUUUCAUCCUCUACAGAAGAUCAGAUCAUUCAGAGAAAUCUUUGUACUAAAGGGGGACAAGGACCAGAACCAGGACUGGAUGGUCCUGAUCUUUAGAAACAGACAGGACUCUGGAGUUGGGUUUGAUAUCACUCGUCCGUGAACUGUCCUGAGGUCUGCUGGAUCAAGAUCUAACAGUCUUUAGGAAACGUAGAACUGUAAAUCAUAGAUGCUGCAUCCUCAGUUUAAAACAAGAUCUCCAGGUCUAGGAGGAACAUCUGCGUCCAUCCAGACCUUCAUAUGAUCCAGAACCACAUCCUGACACCAGCAUGGCUCUGUAGGAGAAGAGUCCUGGACUGAUGUGGUCUUUUUGUUGUUGUUGACAGAAUUAAACCAAUCAGGACACAGGAAGCAACCCUCAACAUGGCGACCUGACGGACAGGUGACACACCUGUGGACAGGUAGGCGUGACCGUACAGAGAUUAGAUUACCCACAAUUCAACUCGGCUGUGGAUUAUAUUUAUCAUGCUUUGCUUCGUGUCGCUACCCGAUCCGUCCCGGAAACCCGAUCCAUACUAAGUGCAAAUCUGGCGAUGUGACAGGCUAGCUAAAUGCCGAGCUAAUGCCGAGGUAUUCUCCAGAGCUCCUGCCCAGAACGGUGAGACCUUUUGGGCCACAAAGAGCGCCACCACCUGGUCAAAAUGAUGGUUCUCUGACUCUUCUAAGUAUCAGGAUCGUGUUUUUGGGACGGAUUAGGAGGAGACACCAUGUUUGUCGAGGCGAAUGAAGCUCAGGUCCACGGUCUCUAUGCUGACUCAGGUGGUCACUCUGGUUUAAACUCUGACGCUGUCGGAGAAAGGCAUUCUGGGGGUUGUAGUUCAUGGAUGAGCCGGUAAUAAAAAAUCAUCUGUAGUUUGACAAGGACAGUUUACACUACACACACACACACACACACACACACACACACACACACACACACACACACACACACACUGCUGGUGUUUGUGUGUCUCAUCCUGCUCUGCUCUGAUUGGCUCUCAGUGACCAAUAAGAGCUCAGCAAAUACAAACAUGGAAUAACAGUUCACCUCUUAUUUCUGGGUAUAAGAGAGGACCUGUACUCUGAGUGUGUGUGUGUGUGUGUGUGUGUGUGUGUGUGUGUGUGUGUGUGUGUGUGUGUGUGUGUGUGUUAAAGAAAAUGAACCUGGUCGUGUCAGUAAAAGUUUGUUCAAACUCUUCAUAUCGAUCAUAUGAUCAUCAAUAAUGACUCAGAGGAGUGUUUUAGACUCUCUGCUGGUCUGAACCUCAGUCCUCUGGUCUGAACCCCAGUCCUCUGGUCUGAACCUCAGUCCUCUGGUCCUCUGGUCUGAACCCCAGUCCUCUGGUCUGAACCUCAGUCCUCCGGUCUGAACCCCAGUCCUCUGGUCUGAACCCCAGUCCUCUGGUCCUCCGGUCUGAACCUCAGUCCUCCGGUCUGAACCCCAGUCCUCCGGUCUGAACCUCAGUCCUCCGGUCUCAACCCCAGUCCUCCGGUCUGAACCUCAGUCCUCCGGUCCUCUGGUCUGAACCUCAGUCCUCAGUCCUCCGGUCUGAACCCCAGUCCUCUGGUCUGAACCUCAGUCCUCAGUCCUCCGGUCUGAACCCCAGUCCUCUGGUCUGAACCUCAGUCCUCAGUCCUCUGGUCAGUCUCAGUCCUCUGGUCUGAACCUCGUCACAGACUUGAACUGGUCCUGGUUUAGCUGCCGACACUGAUUAGGUAUUAGGAACCACUGUAGGUACCAGCUGGUUUAGUGAGUGGCGUCACACCGUGGGACCUUCUGUCUGGUAGAUUAACACCUUCACUUCAUGAUCGGCUGAAGUUCGGAGACUUCACCAAGUUUCGCACUUUUCCGUUGUUUGUCCUCGUGGACUUGCUGUAACGACAAACAGGAGUGUUGUCGACUCCUAAGACGGGAAAGCCCCUCCCAGCUGUCGUAAAUGUCACUUGAAGUCGCUCGAUGACGUCAUCGCCUAGUUUGCAUAAUUUCUCUGUCAAACCAACUGUUGCCACCGACGUCCCCAACCCCGCGAGGAGGAGGAGGAGGAGAAGGAGGAGGAGGAGGAGGAGAAGGAGGAGGAGUCUCCCGCGGGGUGCCUGAGUGUCUGUGUUUUUGAACCGGCUGCCUGUUGAGAAGAGUAACAUCGAUUUCUGCGUUUCUGAGUCUCUAAAGUCCAGAAAAAGUCACUAGAUUUGUUGUGAGGCGCUUUUUUAAAAAUGAGUCGUUAGAGGGUCUGAAAAGAUGACAAAGUCGCUCGGUCGGCAACGCUUCAUCAAACCGAUAUUCAAACCUCCGACAGACAUUUAUCAUCAAGUCAAAGAAAGUCACUCUAUAUUUUCAUCUACAGCUUUUGAAAACAAACGGCCAAACGGCCAAUCAGAUUCGAGCAGAGGACCGCAAGCUGAUCUGACCACCUGACCACAUCCGGUACUUAAACAUGGCGACGUUAGCGGUUCACGGUUUUCUGGAUCAAACGGAGCUGUGACUCAGCGGAGUGAACCACGAAUAAAACUGAGAACAGACGAAGAAGAAGCAGCUGCUGUUAGCGAACUAGAGCUAGCAUCCCUCAGAGAGAUGAUCUUUAAAAAACUGAACUUCAAAGAAUCAAAAACAGCGUUAGAGCUCGAGUCUCUUCAGGUCGUUGAUCAACUCCAUAUUUCUGAAGUGACCUGAUGGAAACAGGAAGCUUACCAAAAUAAAAGCAUGACAGGAAGGAGAGAGCAGUUUGGUGAAGACGAAGUUCAAAACUUUAAAACCCUGAUGAGAAAAACGACCCCUGAUGACCCAGACUACACCUCGUUAAACCGCCAUUCUCUCCACACGAUGCACGUUAAGCC